GACGAACGCUGGCGGCGUGCCUAAUACAUGCAAGUAGAACGCUGAAGAGAGGAGCUUGCUCUUCUUGGAUGAGUUGCGAACGGGUGAGUAACGCGUAGGUAACCUGCCUGGUAGCGGGGGAUAACUAUUGGAAACGAUAGCUAAUACCGCAUGAUAUUGAAUAUCGCGUGAUAAUUAAUUGAAAGGUGCAAUUGCAUCACUACCAGGUGGACCUGCGUUGUAUUAGCUAGUUGGUGAGGUAACGGCUCACCAAGGCGACGAUACAUAGCCGACCUGAGAGGGUGAUCGGCCACACUGGGACUGAGACACGGCCCAGACUCCUACGGGAGGCAGCAGUAGGGAAUCUUCGGCAAUGGGGGGAACCCUGACCGAGCAACGCCGCGUGAGUGAAGAAGGUUUUCGGAUCGUAAAGCUCUGUUGUAAGAGAAGAACGGGUGUGAGAGUGGAAAU
rnacentral:rRNA from 1 species